CUUAAUUCUCGAUCUGAGAGAGAAAAUCUACAGAGAAGAGCAGUGUUUAAGAAAACUGGCAAUAAGAAGUGAAGAGAUGAAAAACAGCAAUUGGAAAAUUACAUGGAAGAUGAAGAAACAGUUAUAAAGAACUCUAAGCAGGAAGUCAAGAGGAAAGACUCUGAAGGAAAGCACCAGACUUGGUUCCCAGAGGUUCUUUAUGCCACCGAGGGAGUGGUGGGCCUGCAGCCAGAAGGCUGGGUGACCAGACAGGAAAGGAUGCAGAGCCACUCAUUUGGAGGAGUUUGUCGGUGACCGGAAGGAAGGAAGGAAACAGGAAGCGGCUGGAGGGAAGACUGGAAGGCUGUAGAGGUACCUUCGCAGCAGUGAGUAACCUGUGCAACUGAGGCUGUUGAGAAAGCUCUAGUCAGAAUGGAGCUUCUGUUGGUGCUGGAGAAUGGCCAACCUGUGGAAAAGGGGCCCCCCAUACUGCAGGGCCCGGUGGAGGCAUUCAGAUUUCUAAAGUGGAAAUGCUUUUUGUGGGGCAACUGGAGGGAAGAGGGGAUGAGUAUAAAUGGGCCUUAAAAGAAACACAGAGAAAUGUCACACAGCUUAUUUACCUGUUAUUUCUCCCUGUUUACCCAUCUGUAGUCUGCUCUAUGCUGCUGGGGUUGUGAUUCUACAGACUCAGUUUUCCAGACUCUUUUGACAUCUGGCUUUGCUAAUGGUUUUGCCAGUGAGAGGUACUAGAGCGCUAUGAAAGCAGGAGGAGGAAAGAGAGACCUGUCUUUCAAGUUCCCAUUAGUGUCACUCCAUUCACACAGUUGGCUCUGGCACCAGCCUCGCUUCACCCCCACAAAAGGAUCAACACAGCUGGGUCAUGCUCUCUUGGUAGAGUAAAUACGAGAUUUGAUAUUUGCUUUUUGGGCAACCACAGGUUAUAACCUUUCAUGGGAGACCUAUGGCCUUUUCUCUGACACCAUAGUUCUGGUGGCCCCACCACUAUCUUGUUUUCUUCCACUUCAUGUUUUUAAUGUUCUGAGUCACCUCAAUAUGCCCUUUGUAGUCUUUGAGGCUUCUAAUGUGUCUAUAAUCAAUUUUCUGUAUCAAAUCCACUUGGUUUAAAGCACAGCAUUUUUUUUCCCCUUCCUUACUGGGCACGCUGAUGUAGUUCUUGGCACUGGUAGUGGUCUCAGAAGCAGACCCUUGGGUAAACAUACAUGUUCACACAGAUUGAGUUGAUGUCUUUUUAAUGGCUAUAUUUUGGUGAAAUACCACUGAAGCAAGUAAGUUGAUGGGAUUUGAGAAGAAAAGAAAAGAUGGAGAAGAGUCAAUAAGGGGGAAACCAAUAGAGAAGACUAGCAGGGCCCAGUUGCUCUAUCUUCAUUUUAGAUUUGAUAGAUCCUGGCUCUGAGUGUUUUACCCACCCCUCCCUUUGCCUUCCUGUAGAAGUUUUCCAGAGCACUUCCAAGGUGGUUUAAAUCCUGUAUGAUAUAGUCACUAAAACAUGUAAUUCCAGUCACACAUACCUACUUGUACAAUGCUAUGAAAUUUGUCUUAAAAUUUUUAUUUCUAUUGUAUUUUGUAAGUCCUAGACCCCAGCUCUUUCAUUGUGUUCCUCAUUUUCUAAUUUUUGACUUUUCUAGUUUUCAUUUUCAUCCUGCAUAAUUACAGGCAAAAAUUUUUUUUUCUAUGAAGAUUCUCAUGGAAAAACAGCAAUAUUUGUUUCUCAUUUUUUCCUAUAUUUAUUCCUUUAUAAAGGGCACAACUUUCAACUUUUAAAACUUAUUAUUUUAUUUAGAUGUUUAUCUCCACAUUUCUAAAUGGCAUGUAUAUUUUGCUUUUCUUCUGGCAUUUCUAUGACAAGGAUUUGUGGCAGUCACUAUUAGAAACAGACCCUACUUCUCUUCCAUUUCCUAAUAACAUACUAGAAAAAUCUACAUUAGCAUGACCAUGAAAAGGCUCAUACAGAUUCGUCAUGUCAUUUGCCAUGAAUUUUUUUCUCUUUACCUGAAAAUUUUUGUUUUUCUCUAAAUACUGACUUAAAAUUUAGACCCCUUUAAAAAAAAUUAUAACUAUUCAAUCCCCAAAUCAUUGCCAGUUGGUAAGUUCCCUCCCAAGGCUUGCACAUGUCAAGUAUCCUGACAAUUCUCCUUUAGAAAAAUCUUUUCUGGAACCUUUGGAGUUUCCUAUAAAACCAGAUGUGCUCUACUUCAGGGCACACCUGCUGCGUUGGUUUCCCAUGAGCUUUUCAACAUAUUAUUACAAACUGCAUGGCUUAAAAACACAGGAGUUGAUCCUUGCUGUUCUAGAAGCCAGAAGUCUGAAGUCAACAUUGCCAGGAUAAAAACAAGGCUCAGCAUAUCAAGGCUUCCUCCAGGGGCUCCUGGAAAGAAUUCUUUCCCAAUUGCCUUUGCCAGCCAUUCUGGCUGUAUUCCUUAGCUUGUGGGUGCAUCACUCCAAUAUCCUCCUUCUCUUCCUGUUUUUCUCCCAUUCUUCCUUCUUUUAAUUGUCUUUUAGAAGCUUGUAGGAUGUUCUGUUUAUCCCUAGUAGUCUGAAAUUUUAUUUUAUGGGGUUUGUGUGUGUGUGUGUGUGUGUGUAGCGGGGGAAGGGGGGGGGGACCUGGCCCUGAGAAUUAAGUUCCCAUAAACAAACCAAUUGGAGAAAAGCAUAUAAAUGUAUUUAAUGAAAGUUUUGUGUGGCACUAAAACCUACAUAAGGAGAUAAAGGCUCAAAGACACAGAAUAAAUACUUACAUGCUAAAUUGAACAGUGUUAAAUUAUAAAAAAUGUGACAAGGCAAAGGGGCUUGGGCUAGGGUAAUUCAUUGUUUGAGAAAUGAUUGGUUCUGUCUAUAACCAUCUAUCUUUUCUAUUCAUUUAUCUAGGUAGUUAAAGAGCUAGCUAACUAGACCCUAUUGGUCCUAUUAAAGAGCUAGCUAACUAGAUCUUAUUGGUCCUGGAGAACCCUGACUAAUGCAGAAGGUAAUCAGAGUAAAAUCCAAACUCAAAUCCAGUUCAGGUGCUAAUAAAUUUGAUGCGACUUCUAAUAUUAAUGGUCUGAGAGAAAAAAAAAAUAUCUUCUCAGCAUGAACAAUAAAUACCUCAGUCUCUGUUGUUCUUCUAUUCAAGAUGUUUUGCACUCAACAAAAAUUAUGAUCCAAAGUGAGAAAAAUACCACUUAUGAAGAGAUAAGUCAAUCAGGAAAACAGGCUUAGAUAUGCCUCAGAUAUUUAAAUAUCAUACAAAGCUUGAAUGUAAUUGAUUAACAAGUUAAAAUAUCUAGUCAAAAAGGUGAACAACACCUAGGAACAAAUGGAAUUUCAAAAGGGUGAUGGAGACCAUAAGAAGAGUCAAAUAGAAAUGCUAGAAACUAAUUUAAAAGCUAUGAUAUUUUACAGGUGAGGGAUUCCUUUGAUAGCUUUAUGAACACACUGGACACAGCUGAGGAAAAUCACCUUAAACUGGUUAGUAGAUGUUCUACAAAAAAAAUGAAUAUAAAUAUAUCACAGGGCAUUAUGACUUAUGAGACAUCAAAUGGUGUAACAUAUAGGUAAUAGGAGUUCCAGAAGUAGAGAAGUGACCGAGGGAAUGAGAAGUAUUUAAGAGACAAUAAUAAGAAUUUUCCAAAGCUAAUUAAGGAAAGAAAACCUCAGGUACAGGAAUUCUGAAGACUGUCCUUAUGCACACACACAUACAUACACACACAAGCUUACACACACGCACACACACACACACAUGCACACAAACCAGGCACAUCUUAGUCAGACUGACUAAAUAAGAAAACAUUGUAGGAAGACAGAGAAAAGUACAACAAUGUAGAGACAUGAAGGUAAAAAAUUAUAGAUGAACACCCAUCAGAAACUAUACAAACCAGAAGACAAAUACUGAAAAGAAAAGCAUGUCACCUCAUAAUUCUUCAUUGAAAGCAAAAAUAAUUUUUAGAGAAAUGAAAUUUGGGUUUAUUUACAGCAAUCUGCAAUACAAACUUUGCCACAGGUUCUUUAGGCAGAAGGAUUAUGAUGUAGGAUGGAAAUCUGAAUCUGCACAGAAAUGAAGACCAUUAGAAUGCUAAAAAUGAAGAUCUAUGUAACUUUUUCUUAUUUCUAAAUACUUUAAUUUUUUUUACUGUCUAGAGUAAGCCUAGUAACAAUACUAUUGGGAAUAAAAUGUAUAACAGCAAUAACACAAAGAAUGAAGAGAGAAUGGAAGUGUACUGUUGGAAGAUCUUUAUAAUUUGGUGAAGUGAUGUAACUGUACUUCAAGAUAGAUUGUAAUAAAUUAAGGAGAUAAAUCAUAAAUUUUAGAGCAACCACUAUAAUGUUAAAAAACUCAAAAGAUUUAGUUUUAUUCAUUUUUACUUUUAUUUUGUCUUAAUAUUCUUAUAGUUUGGUAAGUUUUAUUCCGUCCUUUUGAUGGUUAUUCUUCCAUUUGUUUACCUAUUUAUCUUUUUUUAGAUCAUACCUGUUUAACACCUUUUCCUGAGAGGACCAUGCCUUCAGUUGUAUUCAUAGACACGUGUGUACUUUUUAUGGUAUUAUCACAAUUCCUUUUGUCUUCUCUUUUCAUGUGUUUUUGACCUGUAUCGUGUAUUUAUUCUAAAGGUACAGUGAAGGGGGUAGGAGGGACAGUUUAAAUUACCCAUCGUUUCUCCCACAAUCCCUGGCAGCACAAGCAUACAGAUUUCUCUCUUAUGUGGGGAAAAAAGAAAGAAGAGAGCAUGGUACUUUAUCCUACACCCCAAAACCAUACCUACCACAGUAAUACCAGCACCUGGCAGGUCCCCACCUUAGGAUCUUGGUCUGUACCUAUGAAUUGAGCCUCCAAACUAUCUCAUUGUUAGGCCAGACUCUUCCACAUGCCAAGGAGUCAGGCAGCAUUGUAGACUUGAUCUCCAGUGUAAUACUUCAGACCCACCCUGCACAAGGCCUGCCCCAGCCCUGCACUGGCCCAGCAUCCAGAAGCUUUAGUUCUACCUCACCACUACACCAACCCAGUGGACAUGACUUCAGUCUGGUCUCUGUGGAUUGAGGCUGCAGGCACACUCCAUAGCCACAAUCAAUGGGUAUAUCCAAGUGAAUCCCACCUGCGAACCCAGGAACCAGGCCAAUCAGAUCAUGUAGUCCAGAUGAAACAAGCCCUCCAGUUCUAGACAGCCUGCCCCGAAUCUCUAAGUGGGCUGACUCUUGAAGGGCCAUCCCAAACAAGGCCAGUUUGUGAAGACUGUAAUAAGUAACUUCUUAAAAUGCACAGGCAACAACGCAUGGCCACACGAAUCAAGAACAGUUAGGAAACAUAACGUCAUCACCAAGAGAACAAUUAAGAAUAUGGUACUUAGCAAAAAUGUCCUUUGAAAGUAGAGAUUGAGAGUUUCCAAGACAAAAGCUCCUCUGAGGAUGCAUUUGUUUCUUCAGAAUGUACUGUCCCCAGGAUAAGUAUGCAGGAAGCUUCGUCCUCUUCGCCAAACCAUGCAGAACUUGUGACUUGCGAUAAGGGGAAGAGAACUUUUCCUCCUCCUAGCUGAGGUUUGCCUCAGCUGACCUAAAUCACAGCCACAGCUCUUGCAAAAAGUCAGGCCUGAGGGAGCUAAACUCUGCACACUUAAACCCCAACACCAAAUAACAGCAACUGGAAAACAACUAAUAAAAUGAUAGUAGUAACUUAUUACCUUUCGAUAAUUACUUUGAAUAUAAGUGGAUUAAAUUCUCCAAUAAUAAGAUAUAAAGUUGAUAAGUAGGAAAAAAAAACACAAAAAACACAGCCAUAUGUUGCCUACAAGAGGUUUCACUAUACCUGUAAGAACACACAUAGACUGAAAAAAAAUAUAGUAAAAAGAUAUUCCAUACAAAAGGAAAACACAAAAGAGUAGAAGUAGCUAUGUUUAUAUCAGAUAAAUAGAUUUUAAUGUUAAACAACUGUAAAAAGAGAUGAAGAUCAUUGUGUAAUGACAGAGAUUAAUUCAUCAUGACAAUUGUAAAUAUACAUGACCUAAAUUCAGAGCACAUAAAUAUGUAAAACAAAUAUUAAUAGAUCUGAAAGGAAAUUAGACUGCAGUAUAAUAAUAUUAGAGAGUUUCAACACUCCAUUUUCAGUAACAGAUGAACCAUCCAUACAGAGAAACAAGAAGGAAACAUUGAACUUAAACUAUGUUCUAGAGAAAAGGUACCUAACAUACAUGUACAGAAUAUUUUGUCUAACAGCUGCAGAAUACACAUUUUCUCAAGCACACAUGGAAUAUUCUCCAGAUAGGUCAUAUGUUAGACCACAAAAACAAGACUUAAACUUAGGAUUGAAAUAAGUAUCCUUCUGAAAAAAGGAUAUAAAAUUAGAAAUUGAUGUCAGAAGAAACUUUGGAAAAUUCAAAAUACAUGCAAAUUAAACAACAUGCUUCUGAACAAUUAAUGCAUCAAUGAAGAAAUCAAUAGAGAAAUUAAAAAAUUUUUAUAUUGAGACAAAUGAACACAUAACAUACUUAAAUUUAUGGAAUACAGCAAAAGCACCAUCCCAAGUAAUUAGAAAAACAAGACAAACUAAGUCCAAAGUAAAUAAAUGGAAGGAAACAAUAAAAAUCAGAGCAGAAAUAAGUAAGACACUAGAAAAACAACAGAAAAAUUAAAAAAAAAAUAACUAAGUUAUUUUAUAAGAUAAAACAACUAAGUUGUUUUAUAAGAUGAAUAAAAUUGACAAACAUUUAUCUAUACUAAAAAAGAGAUUAGAUUUAAAUGGUGGAGACAUUACAACUGAUGACACAGAAUAUGAAGACUACUAUGAAAAAUUAUGUUAAUGAUUUGGAUAAUUCAAAAAAGUCAAUAAAUUCCUAUUUAUUCCUAAUAUACAUAACAACAAACCAAGGCUCAAUCAUGAACAAAUAGAAAAUGUGAACAGAUCAAAAACGAGUAAGAAGAUUGAUCAGUAACAAAAAUUUUCCCAACAAAGAAAUACCCAGAAGCUGAUGGCUUCCCUGGUGAAUUAAUCAAAUAUUUAAAUAAUUAAUAAUGAUCCUUCUCAAAUGCUUUAAAGAGCAGCUAUCUGUGGUGGUGCACAACUGUAAUCCCAGUGGAUAGAGAGGCUGAGUCAGAAGGAUCAUGGGUUCAAAGCCAGCCUCAGCAAUGGCAAGGCACUAAGCAACUCAGUGAGACCCUGUCUCUAAAUAGAAUACUAAAUAGGGCUGGGGAUGUUACUCAGGGGUCGAGUGUCCCUGAGUUCAUUCUCUGGUUACUCCCCACCCCCAAAAGAAAAAAGUUAAAUUGAAAGGAAUACUUUCAAACUAAACUUACAAGGCCAGAAUUACCUGAUAAUAUAUAAUAGCUAGACAAGGACACCACAAAACAAAAAAGAAAAAAAAUACAAAAUCAACAUACAAAUAUCAGUAUUGAAUCAAAUUCCAUGCUUGUAUGAAUUUGUCAGGAUGAACCCAACUACUAUGUAAUUGUAAAGCUGUAAUUUAAAAAAUGAGAACAUAAAAAAAUGAGUAGUGUUUCUUGACACAAACAUCAAACUAUGAGGAAGAGAAGAAGUCAAAUCCCAUUUAUAAUAGCUACAAGAACAAAAACAAAACAAACAAACAAAAACAUUAGGAAUAAGUUUAAUCAGGGGUGAAAUAUGAAAUCUAGGAAACACUGAUGAAGGAAGCUGAAAAAAACCCAAAUAAAUGGAAAGAUAUACCAUGUUCAUGGACUGGAAGGAUUAAUAUUGUGAAAAUGUCCAUACUAUUAAAAAGUAUUUACAGAUGCAAUGCAAUCACUAUCAAAAUACCACUCACAUUGUUUCAAAGAAAUAGAGAAAACUAUCUUAAAUUUCUUGCAGAACCCCCAAAGACUUUAACAGCCAAAGCUAUCUUGAGCAAGUAGAACAAGGUGACAGUAUUGUAUAGUAAAUAAAACAGAAUGGCACUGAUAUAUAUAUAUAUAUAUAUAUAUAUAUAUAUAUAUAUAUAUAUAUAUAUAUAUAUAUAAAGAAAGAUGGAACAAUAGAAAAGAAUAAAAGUCCAGAAUUAUUCUACAUAUUUAUGGUUAACUGAUUUUUGAUAUAGGGAGAAGUCAGUUUCUUCAAUGAUCUUGGAAGAAUUGGCUAUCCAUAUGAAGAAGAAUGAUUUGAACACUUAUGUCACAUCAUAGACUAAAAUUAAUUAAAAUGAUCUAAGACUUAAAUGUAAGACUGGAAACUAUUAAACUACUAAAAGAAAACAUAUGGGGAAACUAUAACAUUGGUCUGGACAUCAACUUUUUUAAAAAAUGACCUUAAAAUUUAAGCAACAAAAGCUAAACUAGACAAAGGGAUUACAUCAAACUAAAAAGUUUCAAAAUAACAACAACAAAAAAACACUUAAGGAGACCUGAGCAAUGGAAGAUAUUGACCAACUUAAGCUAACUGACAGCGAUUGAACAUUAUAUCCUCUCACCCACCACCCACGCAGACGAGUUGAACUGGGUUUUAAGGAGCUGGCUGCAACAUUAAACUAAGAAAGUGGGGAAAACUCACGCAACACAGAGGGCGGGAUGAUUCUGCGACCUCAAAGGUCAGUUUCCACGCUGGAAAAAGAGCUGGAAAAGAGAGCGUGAGUCCAGAAUCUCUUUAUUUUAUAGCAGGGACACGGAGGGGGAUAAGGUUUCAAGGGUGGAGUGUUGCUUCCUGCUGUCUCCUGGUCCCCAGAUUGAUUGACAUCUUGGCGAGCUACACCCAUCUCAGGUGCUGUGUGGGAUCUUCCGCAGGGAGGCUCACCUGCAUCAUGUGGUCACUCCCAUCAUCUGCAGUGCCAGGCCUCUCCCCUCAAGAGGCUACUAUGCCCGACACAAUCCACACACAGCCCAUAGAUGGCUCAUGACAAUAUCCAACAAUAAAAUAGUAUGUAUUCUAUUAAAAUGACUUGUAACAUUCAUCAAAAUGGACCUUAAGAUGACUGCUUAUAUCUUGGAAUUUGAAAUGCCUCAAAUACUCUGAAAUGCUCGAAAUUAUAUAGCAUAUGUCUCUGAUCACAAUGAAAUUAAAUUAGAAACCAAUAACAAUAUAUUCACUUCAAAAAUUGAUUAAGUGUUAUAAACUAUGGGUAAUAAUGAAAUAUAUUGAAUGACAGUAGAAAAUAGCAUAUGAAAAGUUGUGAGUUGAAGCUAAAUUAGGACUUGGGUGGAAAUUAUAUAAGCUUUCUAAGAUGACAAUAGACAAGAAUAAAGGCUUAAAAAUUACUGAUACAAUUUUUUCCUUAUGAAGCACAAAUAAAUAAAAUAAAAAGUAAAUUGAGCACAAAAUAAGUAUAAAUAAAGAGAUAAUAUAGAUAAAAUUGAGUGUCAGUAAUAGAAAACAUGCAGAGGAAAUUGAAAGCUAGUUUUUGGAAAAGAUUAUUAUAAUUGAUAAACCUUUAGCAAGUCUGAUCAAUCAAAAACAUAAAUUUAGCUAGGCACAGAAAUGCAUGCCUAUAAUCCCAGGGACUCCCAAGUCUGAGGCAGGAGAAUUGCAAGUCUAAGCCAACUUCACCAACUUAGUAAGACCAUGACUCAAAAUAAUUUUUUUUUAAAAAAAGGGCUGGGGAUAUAGCUAAGUGGUAAAGCACCCCUGCCUUCAAUCCCCAGUCUCCAAAACAAACAAAACCCGCAUAAUUUUAGGAAUACAAUAGAAGACAGUUAUGCAUGUAUUGGAGACACAUUAUAAACAAUUUUCAGUCAUAUGAAUUUAACUAUUUAAGUAAAAUAGGCAAAUUCCUUGGUGAACACAAAUUGCUCCUAUCUUACAUGCAUAUCUUAUAUAUGGAAUAUUAACCUUUCUUGGAUCCAUGAUUUGCAAGUAUUUUCUCCAUUCCCAAAAUUGACUCUUUAUCUUGUGAAUUGUUUUUAUUUUCUUUUUAAAAUUUUUACAAAGUUUAUAUAUCACAGUAGAAUCCAUUAUGAUAUAAUUAUACAAGCAUGGGAUAUAUCUUAUUCUAAUUAGGACCCCAUUUUUAAGUUUUUCCAUUAAAUGGAUGCACUUUUUUAUAUAAAGUUGACACCAAUAGUGUUAACUUAAAAAUAAAUGGAAAUUUCAUGACAGCAUAGAGAGCUCAGAAGUCUCCAGAAGUCCACCUCCACCUUACAUGGAAGUCAUCUAUUAUUAAGUGUCUAUUGCCUUGAAAUUGCCAAAAGAUAUUCAAGAGCACGGUAUGGUGUGAGUCCAUGCCUCUUUCAAUCCCUUUCUGCUGAUUCUAUUUAUUUGAACAUUUAGGGGAGAAAUGAUUUUUGACUGAUUCUCUUUUAGAGACAAAUUCAAAUAUUUUGCUCCAGUUUUUCUUUUAACUUUUACUUUCCUGAAGCCUGAGUUUACCCAAAAAAAAUAGUAAUUCCUGAAGUUGGUUUUUUUUUUUUUAGCAUCUCCUACUUCUCCUCCCUGCAGCUCAGAUUGCAGGUAAGGUAUCUCAGCUUGACAUUUAUUUUUGACAUUAAGUGAACAAUAUUAUUUUGAGAUCACUGUGAUCUUGCUUAAUGCAACUGUUACAGUCACAGUUACUGCAGUUCCUGAAUUUCCAGGUAAUUGAGUGGUAGGCAGAUACCUAAUGCUUACAUAAGAAUGACCUUGCUUUUUUUUUCUGAUUUUCUUUCAUUGAAAAGAAAACUUCUUAAUAUUUGUUGCCCAUGGUAAAUAUCUGAAAUGUAGCUUGUUUGGACAAUCUUUGCAAAGCUGUGGCAAUCAGGAUUUUAGUAUUUCCAUUUAGCAUGUUAUACAGGCCCAUAAUAAAUUCUGGUCAUGUUCAAUUCUGUGUCAGUAAAUAACAUGAAGAAGAUCUUCUGGAUAUCUCAAUUGAAACUAAACAGAACAAAACAAUAACAAGAAGCCCAUAUGCAUGAUUGUUAAUCACUUCAAAAAUUUGAUUAAAGCCACAUAGAGUUGCUAUUAUACUUUUCAUUUGUUCUUAUACUAACUGUUCCAUUUAUUUUUCAAUGGCCAACUAACAAAUUAUUACAACUUUAUACAAAUAAAUCUUGAAGUAUUUCAAUACAAUGAUCACUUUCAAAUCCUUCAGUGAACACUUAAUUGAGAUUUUGUAAUAAUCAUUUUCUAACAAGAUUAAGUAUUUGAAUAUUAUGCAGUUAUUUAAUAUACAUUUUGAUUGCUGAGGGUAAUUUUGUUAUGAUUCUAAAUAUUUAAAAUUAAAUUCACCUUUGCUCUUUCUAAUCCUAGAUGAGCUUGUAUGAGCCUUAAAGUAGCAAAAGUUUGGUGUUAUUAUUGUUUAAUCUUUAAUUGCUCUAAUAUCACCACCAUCAGAGCUAUUAGUUAAACAAAAUGAAAUUCUAACUCUUCAAACUUUGAACUUUUUUUAUACUGAGGAAGACUUUGGUAGCUGGUUAAAUUCGGGCUUUAAAAAGCAUGUCCAUUUUCACAAGUUCUGAUUUACAUGUAGGUGAUUUACAUGUGAGGUGGUCAUGUAAUUAGUUGUCUGAACUAGAACACUUUGUGAAAGGUGAGUUAUUUAUAGUUUCUUCUGUAAUUAUAAUGAUUGUCUCCAAUUUCUAUCUAAGAUAUAUUGUACCCAGUUAUAAUUGUUUAAGCUGUAGCACAGGUUUGUGUAGACCAUGAGCUCAUCAAUCAUCAUAUAAAUACCAUGUAUAAUUUAUUGGAUGACAAUGAGCAAAAAAAAAAAAAUAGUGUCCUUGCUAUCAUGGACAGAAGUGAAAAUUCACAAGCAAUUUUAUUAGUCUUCCUCACAAUCUGAGGAAGACUAACAAAAAUAGAAGUUUUUGAACUAGAAACCAAAGUUUUCAUUGCUGGGAGACAGUAGGGAACUGACCUUGCAGACCAUCACAUUACAUCAUGAAGGCUUUCAUUUCAACUCACCUCCUUCUGUGCCACUUGUAUGUACCUCUCUGGGAAAAUGACACCAGUGUCCUGUCCCACCUGUGCUCCCCUGCUACUUUCAUUUUAGGAGAGGAUUGGGAGGGAAUCAUCUAAGCAUUCUAUGACCACAGUACUUUACAUGGGUGUUUAGAACCCUCUUUCCUUCUUACAGAAUCCAUGCUAAUAAAGAAUCCCAGAGCAGUGUCUACAGCGCUACUAAGGGAAUUCCGGAGGCCUGCCUCCCUAUACCUUUCAUUUGGUCCUUGACUUAAUGACUAUAACUACACUUUUAAAAGAUCACAUAGGACUUUUAUUAAAGUAGCCUCUUUCAAUCUUUAUCAAACUGAACAGGGCAGGUAGAAUAAUUAUUUUGCAAAGAGCAAAAGGCUCAAAGAGGUUGAUGUGCUCACGGUCACACUAUGUAUAUGGUAGGACAUUUUUACUUUACCUCCUAUAUCUUUUUCAUAAUCCAAAGCGGUUGCUAUAGAAAUUCGAUUUGAUUGUAUUUGAAGUAGUUAUACGUGUACUAAGGCUUUCAUCAUUUGGCAUCAAUAAAUAUAUUCUGAGAUUUGUAAUUAAUAUCUAUCUUCCCUGAGAGCAUGAUGUUUGUUACAGUUAAAAAUAAAUAAAUAAACUGGGUACCUUAGUAGAAAGUUGAGUCAUGGGAGAAUUGAAAACAAAUUAUAUCUACUUUAUGCUUUUUUUCAGGCCCACCCUUAACUGUGACUAGCACUUGGGAAAGAACCAUAAUCUUAGUGCUAAAGCAAUGGCCUAGGUUUUAAUAUUUCCCUUGCUGGGGAGUUCUACUGUUGAUGUAGAUAAAAAUGUUAAGUACCUUGUUAAACCUUGGCAAUUUAGCCAGGCCAUAAGCAACUUAGUGAGACCGUGCAUGUCUCAGAAGGAAAAAUAAAAGGGGUUGAAGUUGUUGCUCAGUGGUUAAGCACUCUUGGGUUCAAUCCUUGGUACCAAACACUUAAAAAUUAUAUAUAUAUAAAAAGAUGGCCAGCAUGAUAAUUUAAGUAAUCAUUUCAGGUUGUGAUCUUUAUAUUUUGGUAAAAAGAAAUGUGUAGUUUCCUAGAUCCUCCCUGAUUGUCUCCCUGGAUACUCGGGAAGGCCUUCGUGCCACCUGGCUUGGGGACGCUGGGUUCCUCUCCUUUCCUCCAGUCCUCAUGCAUGGGGUGAGGAUCCUAUCUGCAUGGAUGCUUGCUUGUCCACUGCACUGAUGGCAGAGGGCCUCACCUGGGACAACACAUGGUCUGGUUUAUCUUGGUAGGCAGAGCCCAGUGUUGUUCUCCUGACCACUUGGGUCACCUUAGCUCUCUCUAGAACAACAAACCCCAUGAACUUCAUGUGGCCUCUUACUUUGUUGUUUCAUCCCAAGACAAGUUUGGAGAUCCUGUUACACCUCCCCUAUACACGCCCUGUGGCUCUCAAAUCACCUGAUAUCUCCGUCAUUUCCCUCCUUCUCCCUAGCUCUACCCUGAAAUUAGGAGAUAAAGGAAUAUUUAGUUUCUGUCCAUGCUUUGCAAUGAAAAGCAAACUUCAAGGUGAUCUCUCUUUGAUCACUCUCUUUGUUGCCAAACUAAACUCUGAUAUAGUUCUAUCCCAUCUUGGCCUAUGUUUGGGUUCUUUGCAAGGAUCCAAAUAAGACCCAACAGCUCCCUUCUUCUGUAAUAUACCUGCUCUUUCCUAAAACCCAAUACUGGCUGAAGCUAGAGAGGAGAAAUCAAGGCAUUUAGAUCUGUUUUCUGCUUCUCCUUCUCUCUUUCCUUUCCCACAGGCCCUACUACCCAUGGAACCAUCUCUUUCUAAUCCUGUUAUAAGGCUGGAAUAAUUAAUCAAGCCCUUGACAGCCAAGGCUUGCUUGGAAAGAGGAUGUAAUACAGAAGAAGAAAUUUAGAAAAUUCUCUCCCCUAUUAAUUUGGCCUUGAAGUUUAUUGUCUUACUUCAAAGCCAGGGAAUGAAUAGCAACAAUCUUAAUCCACACUUCUCUGCUCACCAGAUGAAACAUAUGCAUGUUUCAUUUCAGGUCAACUGAGAAGAACGUUGUAAAAGGAGACAGUGCUGUAAAGAAGCAAAGAAUUCUAAUCCUGAGGCCUUUGGAAAUGGGUGGAAAAUUCUAAUGUCUUUUAAAGUUUGUUUUGUUGUUUUGUUGGUUUUUGCUAGAGCUGAAAGGGAUGUUUA
rnacentral:lncRNA from 1 species